rnacentral:rRNA from 1 species
UACGUAGGGCGCAAGCGUUGUCCGGAAUUAUUGGGCGUAAAGAGCUCGUAGGCGGCCUGUUACGUCUGCUGUGAAAUCCCGGGGCUUAACCCCGGGCGUGCAGUGGAUACGGGCAGGCUGGAGGCAGGCAGGGGAGAACGGAAUUCCCGGUGUAGCGGUGAAAUGCGCAGAUAUCGGGAGGAACACCAGUGGCGAAGGCGAUCACCUGGGGUUGUUCUGACGCUGAGGAGCGAAAGCUAGGGGAGCAAACGGG